CCUACGGGGGGCAGCAGUGAGGAAUAUUGGUCAAUGGGCGAGAGCCUGAACCAGCCAAGUCGCGUGAGGGAGUACUGCCCUAUGGGUUGUAAACCUCUUUUGUCGGGGAGCAAAAGCCGGACGUGUCCGGCUGUGAGAGUACCCGAAGAAAAAGCAUCGGCUAACUCCGUGCCAGCAGCCGCGGUAAUACGGAGGAUGCGAGCGUUAUCCGGAUUUAUUGGGUUUAAAGGGUGCGCAGGCGGAGUUUUAAGUCAGCGGUAAAAUCGUGGGGCUCAACCCCAUCCAGCCGUUGAAACUGGGGAUCUAGAGUGUGCGAGAGGUAUGCGGAAUGCGUGGUGUAGCGGUGAAAUGCAUAGAUAUCACGCAGAACCCCGAUUGCGAAGGCAGCAUACCGGUGCACAACUGACGCUCAGGCACGAAAGCGUGGGUAUCGAACAGGAUUAGAUACCCGUGUAGUC
rnacentral:rRNA from 1 species